AAUUUUGUUCCAGUUCGAUCCAGUCUUUUCCUUCUUUGUUAGUUACCCAGUUUAGUAUACGUACUAGGUGGGUGGAAAUGUAGUAGGAAUAAAUAUCUGGGAGUGCUAGGCCACCUUUGACUUUGGGGAGAAUUAAAAGAUUAUAUUUUAAUCUGGGGUUUUUCCCGGCCCAUAUAAAUCUUAUGAUCAUAUAUUUUAUUGAUUUGAAAAAGGACUGAGGCAGUAAUAUUGGGAGUGCUUGUAGGAGAUACAAAAUUUUAGGAAUAAAAGUCAUUUUAAUUGCCUGUAUUCUUCCAAACCAGGAUAACUGGAGUUUACCCCAUUUUUCUAGUAAUUUCUGGAGAGCAGUCAUAAGAGGGAUAUAGUUGUCUUGGUAGCACUUUCCUAGGUCGGAGUGUAGUUUUAUUCCUAAAUAUCUUAUAGAGGACCUGGUCCAUUUGAAUGGAAACUUUCCUUCUAGUGCAUUUUUAGUUUUAUCUGGAGUAUUAACAUUUAAUAUCUCAGACUUAGCAUAGUUGACUUUAAAAUUGGAGAGUUCACCAAAUGUAUUCAGAAGGUGGACUGUGUUUGGGAGAGAGAUAACCGGGUUUGUGAUAAACAUUAGAAGAUCAUCUGCAGAAGCAGCACAUUUGUAUUCCUUUCCUUUUAUUAUUAUUCCUGAUAUGUUUACGUUAUUUCUUAUGUGAGAUAGCAGUGUUUCCAUGAGCAAAAUAAUAAGUAUAGGAGAGAGGGGGCAUCCUUGUCUAGUACCAUUGAAUAUGAGAAGGUUGAGCCUUUGGUGAUAAUAUUCCAUUAAUUCUUAUCCUAGCUGUCGGGACCCGGUAUAAAGCUAGGAUCCUUUGCCUGGAUGGAUAACCUAGGCCAAAACCUGUUAAAGUUUCGUCUAAGAAGUCCCAGUAUACCCUAUCAAACGCUUUUUCAGCAUCUGUCGGAUGAAACCCGCCUGAUCAGGAUGGAUCAUUGAAGUUUGCUGGCUAUAGAUAUCAGAUGUCCUCUUACUACGCAUUUCAGAGUUUCCCACAACGUGGGGGGAGAGAUCACUAAAGAGUUAUUGUUUUGGAGAGUUUGGACUAUAAGAUUCUGUAUUUGUUUUUUGAUUUGCUCCUUAUGUAAUAAUGUAUCAUUAAAUUUCUACGUGUAUUCUUGUUUAAGAGUUUGUGGGAUUGUGAAUAAAGUCAUAACCGGGGAAUGAUCGGAAACAGUGCUAUUACCAAUUACUGAUUGAUCAAAUAGGUGAGCCCAUUGUUGGGAGACAAAUAUGUAAUCAAUUCUGGAAUAAACAUUUGUUUAUCUCCAGAUAUCAAUUAAACAUAAUUCAGAAAAACGUUUUUUAAUUUCCUUAAUCCCUCUAUAAGAUAUAUUAGUUCUUGUUGAGGAGGUGUCAAUUAAGGGAUUCAAGGUUAGAUUGAAAUCUCCGCCUAGGAUAAUGAGACCUUCUGCAAAAUUUUCUAGUAUCUCCGUAAAUUGCCUAAGAAAGGUAAUUUGACCUUGAUUCGGUAUGUAUACAUUUGCUAUAGUACAUGUUAGAUCUACCAAUUUGCCUUUCAGGAUUAGGAAUCUUCCUUCUUUAUCUGUUAGGGUCUCGUUAUGAGUGUAUGGUAAAUCUUUAUGAAGCAUAGUUAAUAUCCCUGUUGCUUUUUUAGUUGGGUUAUUACUUACAAAGAUAUGGGGAAAGUUCUUAGGAUUAAUAUGUGGAGCAUGAUUAACCUUGAAAUGGGAUUCUUGUAACAUUACUAUCUUGCAGUUAGCCCUCUUACAUUCGUUAAAAAUUUGCACUCUCUUUACAGGUUCGUUUAUACCAUUUACAUUAUAAGAUAAAACCUUACACACUA